UCUCGCGUGUUGUGUUUCGUUAACGUUUUGCGUUUAUUUCGCAAAAAAUGCGCGAUAUCAUGUUGGAUUAUUUUAUAUGUAGAGCGUUUCGAUACAUCUUAAACGUAAAUUUGUCAGCGGAUGUUGGAGUAUGCAUCGCACCGAGUUCAUUACGCCAUGGAUUCAUAUGCGGAGACAGGAGGCUAGGUUCCGAAACGAGAUGAAAUGUUUGGAUGUGACAAUAAAUUAAUAAGGUAGGACCAUCGACCGAGCGACAUUCGACGACAUACUUUGGCAAUCGCAAGCGGGAGAAGAGAAUCGCUGACGCAAGAUCGGCAUAUGAUCGUUUGCACGACAUAACUCCCUUCGAUCCGGGUAAACCGCGAUGUGAUCGCACGAAGCAGAGUUUCAUUUGGGCGGAGAUACAUGAGGAGAACAAAUGUCACGUCGUGCCAAUGACUGCUAAUCACUGGUACGGUCGACCGAAUAGAGUCCAAAUCGAUUAUCCCGACAUGAAAUUUGCUCAAUCGAGCGAAACCAGGGAUUUCUACAGUCGGCACAUCUCAUCCUGACUCUUGAUAGCGCGGAACGAGAAACUUUCUAUCUUUCUUGUUUUAUGAAAUGUUAGACAAAAUUUGUAAUCUGCAUGCACAUUUUCAAGACGAAAUACAGCUGAAAGAGAUACAAAAAAUUAAUGGCUGGAAUUUAUAAUAUAAAAAAAGCUUUACGCUCUAUUUUCUUGAUCUAUGACAUCUAUGUUUUUCUUUCAUUGACGUUUUACUAUCGUUGAUAUUUUACUGUCGUCGCGUUAAUGUAAUCAAUUAAUAAACGGGUAAAACAUC